rnacentral:rRNA from 1 species
UACAGAGGUCUCGAGCGUUAGGCGGAAUCACUGGGCUUAAAGCGUGUGUAGGCGGGUCGUUAAGUACCUUGUGAAAUCCCAUGGCUCAACCAUGGAACUGCUUGGUAUACUGGCGAUCUUGUGCAACCUAGGGGCGAGCGGAACAGAUGGUGGAGCGGUGAAAUGCGUAGAUAUCAGGAGGAACACCGGUGGCGAAGGCGGCGUUCUGGACUGCAACUGACACUGUAAAACGAAAGCCAGGGGAGCAAACGGG